AUUGAACGCUGGCGGCAUGCCUUACACAUGCAAGUCGAACGGCAGCACGGGUGCCUGCACCUGGUGGCGAGUGGCGAACGGGUGAGUAAUACAUCGGAACGUACCUUAUCGUGGGGGAUAACGCAGCGAAAGUUGCGCUAAUACCGCAUACGCCCUGAGGGGGAAAGCGGGGGACCGUAAGGCCUCGCGCGAUUAGAGCGGCCGAUGUCUGAUUAGCUUGUUGGUGAGGUAAAAGCUCACCAAUGCGAGGAUCAGUAGCUGGUCUGAGAGGACGCUCAGCCACACUGGGACUGAGACACGGCCCAGACUCCUACGGGAGGCAGCAGUGGGGAAUUUUGGACAAUGGGGGCAACCCUGAUCCAGCAAUGCCGCGUGAGUGAAGAAGGCCUUCGGGUUGUAAAGCUCUUUUGUCAGGGAAGAAACAGCAGCUCUAACACAGUCUGCGAAUGACGGUACCUGAAGAAUAAGCACCGGCUAACUACGUGCCAGCCGCCGCAGUAA
rnacentral:rRNA from 1 species